ensembl:snoRNA U8 U8 small nucleolar RNA
UCAUCAGGUGGGAUAAUCCUUACCUGUUCCUCCUUUUGGAGGGCAGAUAAAACAUGAUAAUUGGAGUUCACAUGAUAUGUGAUUAGCUUCCCUGAAUAAUCAGGACUGCAGCAUCCUGAUUGCUUCUAUCUAAU